CGGAUGAACGUUGGCGGCGUGCCUAAUACAUGCAAGUCGAACGAAGACUGUAGUAAUACUGUCUUAGUGGCGAACGGGUGAGUAACGCGUUGGUGAUCUGCCUUGAAGUGUGGAAUAACGCUCCGAAAGGAGCGCUAAUACCGCAUGUGCUCUCAAUUUUUAGAAACUUGAGAGGAAAGGAUUUAUUCGCUUCGAGAGGAGCCUGCGUCCCAUCAGCUGGUUGGUAGGGUAAAGGCCUACCAAGGCAAUGACGGGUAGGGGACCUGAGAGGGUGGCCCCCCACAAUGGAACUGAAACACGGCCCAGACUCCUACGGGAGGCAGCAGUGGGGAAUAUUGCACAAUGGGCGAAAGCCUGAUGCAGCGACGCCGCGUGAGGGAUGACGGCCUUCGGGUUGUAAACCUCUUUCAGCAGGGAAGAAGCGAAAGUGACGGUACCUGCAGAAGAAGCACCGGCUAACUACGUG
rnacentral:rRNA from 1 species